UACGAAGGGGGCUAGCGUUGUUCGGAAUUACUGGGCGUAAAGCGUGCGCAGGCGGUUUUGUAAGACCGAUGUGAAAUCCUCGGGCUUAACCUGGGAACUGCAUUGGUGACUGGCAGGCUUUGAGUGUGGCAGAGGGAGGUAGAAUUCCACGUGUAGCAGUGAAAUGCGUAGAGAUGUGGAGGAAUACCGAUGGCGAAGGCAGCCUCCUGGGCCAACACUGACGCUCAUGCACGAAAGCGUGGGGAGCAAACAGG
rnacentral:rRNA from 1 species